UUAAAGGCUUUGGGUAUCUAGGUAAGUGGCCUGAAUAUUUUUCAAGUAUGCUAAGCACCCCAUUCACUUAGGAGCCUAGCUUUAGAUAUGGAGCUUUUAAAAUAAUUUGCCCAACUGUUUAGACUUGGAUUUUCUAUAUG